rfam:Elusimicrobia bacterium GWA2_56_46 gwa2_scaffold_1846, whole genome shotgun sequence.
GCCCCCAUAGCUCAAUGGAUAGAGCACCUGCCUUCUAAGCAGGUAAUCCAGGUUCGAUUCCUGGUGGGGGCA